rnacentral:rRNA from 1 species
GGUGAGUAAUGCCUAGGAAAUUGCCCUGAUGUGGGGGAUAACCAUUGGAAACGAUGGCUAAUACCGCAUGAUGCCUACGGGCCAAAGAGGGGGACCUUCGGGCCUCUCGCGUCAGGAUAUGCCUAGGUGGGAUUAGCUAGUUGGUGAGGUAAGGGCUCACCAAGGCGACGAUCCCUAGCUGGUCUGAGAGGAUGAUCAGCCACACUGGAACUGAGACACGGUCCAGACUCCUACGGGAGGCAGCAGUGGGGAAUAUUGCACAAUGGGCGCAAGCCUGAUGCAGCCAUGCCGCGUGUAUGAAGAAGGCCUUCGGGUUGUAAAGUACUU